CUGCAAUUAGACAAGAGAAAGAAAUAAAAGGAAUAAAGACAGGAAAUGAAGAAGUCAAAUUGUCAUUAUUUGCAGGUGACAUGAUACACUAUAUAGAAGACCCCAAGAACACCACCAAAAGUCUUCUAGACUUAUUAACCAAAUUCAGUAGAGUAGUUGGAUACAAGGUCAACACAAAAAAAUCAAUAGCUUUCCUGUACACAAAAAACAAACUCACUGAGAAAGGAAUUGGAGAAACAACUCCCUUCACAAUAGCACCCCCAAAAAUGAAAUACCUAGGUAUUUGCAAACUUUAAAUGAGUAAGAAGCCUGGUUUGCUGGCGUGGGACCAGACAUGGAAUGCGAAUGCCUAAUGCCCCACUUUUGGUAAGCAAAACUGGGGCUAUAGGAAGAACCGAAUGCAAGAUUAAGGGGCCUAAUGCCAACCCCCAUCAGACACCAGAAGAGGUGCUGGUUGAUAUAGACAGUAGGAUGGUGGACACGGAGGUCGGAAUCCGCUAAGGAGUAUGAUACAACUCACUUGCCGGGCCAACUAGCCCUGAAAAUGGAUGGCACUGGAGCGUCAGCCCAUUCCUGGCUGUCACCAGCAGUGGGGUCUGGACCAGAGCAGGCUCAGCAGUGGCGGGGUCUGUCCAGGUCCUCCACAGGCUGACGUGCAGAUCUCGGUGGUAGUACUAAAUAUUCAAACAAGAACUUUGAAGGCCGAAGUGGAAAAGGGUUCCUUGUGAAUAGCAGUUGAACAUGGCUCAGUUGGUUCUGGGAGACAGGUGAGUGCCCUUCCGAAGAGACAGUCAAUGGCCUCUGUUGCCCCUGACCCACUGAAAGGGAGUUGGGUUCAGAUCCCUGAAUGAAUCCGAAGUGGUGGAGAGGGUCACUGAGGCUUCCAGUGGGGUAACGCGACCAAUCCGGAAGACAGUGCUCUUUUCUUUGUGAAGGGCAGGGUGCCCUGGAAUGGGUUCACCAGAGAGAGGGGCCUGCGGUGCCCACCUACAGGUACCUCGCUGGCCCACUGCGUUCCAGCUGACAAAUCCCCUCCCCCACCAGGUGGGAGCCCUCUGCCUCUGCUGGGCCUAGCAGGCGACUAAAGACUGAUGUUGCUCAGGGGAAUCGGACUGUUCAAUUAAAACAGCAUUGCAAAGGCCUGAAGAGGGUGUUGACGCAAUGUGAUUUCUGCCCAGAGUGUCAAAGUGAAGAAAUUCAGUGAAGCGCAGGUGAAGGGCUCGAGUAACUAUGACUCUCUUAAAGCAACCAAAAGCCUCCUCAUCUAAUCAGUGACUGUAUGAACAGGAUGAAAGAGAUUCCCACUGUCCCUACCUACUGUCCAUGGAAACCACAGCCAGGGGAACAGGCUUGAUGGAAUCAACGGGGAAAGAAGACCCUGUUGAGCUUGACUGUAGUCUAGCAUGGCAAGAGAAUGAGAGGUGUAGGAUAAGUGGGAGGCCCCGGCGGUCCCCAGUUGCCCGCAAGUCUUACACAUCACUGGUGAAAUACCACUACUCUGAUAGUUUUUUUACUGACCCAUUGUGUGUGUGAGGUGAGCUCUGGGAGACUCUUGCUUCUGGCACCAAGCACUUGGUGUCUGCUGGGCAUGACCCACUCCGGGGACAGUACCAGGUGGGGAGUAUGAUUGGGGUGUACACCUUUCAAAUGGUAACACAGGUGCCCUCCGGUGAGCUCAGGGAGGACAGAAACCUCUCAUGCAGCAGCAGGGCAAAAGCUUGCUUGAUCUUGAUUUUCACUAUGCAUACAGACCUCGAAAUCAGGGCUCAUGAUCUUUCUGACUUUGGGGUUUUAAGCAGGAGGUGUCAGAAAAGUUACCACAGGAUAACUGGCCUGUGGCAGCCAAGCGUUCAUAACAACACUUUUUGAUCCUUUGGUGGCAGCUCUUCCUAUCAUUGUGAAGCAGAAUGCAACAAGCACUGGAUUGUUUACCCACUAAUGGAGAAUGUGACCUGGGUUUAGAUGGUCAUGACACAAGUUAGUUUUACCCUACUGAUGAUGUGUUGUUGCCAUGGAAAUCCUGCUUAGUAGGAGUGGAACAACAGGUUCAGACAUUUGGUGUAUGUGCUUGGCUGGGGAGCCAAUGGGGUGAAGCUACCAUCUAUGGGAUUAUGACUGAAUGCCUCUAAGUCAGAAUCCACCCAGGAAGAAUGGUAAGGCAACACUGAAGGAGCCUCAGU
rnacentral:ncRNA from 1 species